UACAAGGUCUGUCCAGAAAAAGUCCAGCCAUUGUCACUAUAACAAGAACAGUUUGUGCGAUAUCGAUAUGAAUGGAGCCAAGGACAGUGGAUGGGAACGUGCAUGCAUGAACAAUGAUAACUUCACUGUACCAAGUGGAAACAGUACAAGAAAUGGCCUUGAGGGAAAGGGAGUACCAAUCCUGCAAAGCCUUUGCAAUUGCCUUCAAUUAUAAUGGAGGCUGUGUGCACACAUUCUCUGAAGAGAGACCCACCCAAGGGUUUCUGAUUUUCUGCUCACACAUUGCUUGGAGAGAGACAAGCUGUCAAAAAACCAUAAAGAACCAUUUUAAGAAAUAAAUUGAAGCUUUCAUCUCGUCAAAAAUGUGUGAUUAGAAAAAUAAAUUGUAUAGCUCUUUCAAAUUACAAUCAUAAAAAUAAAAAAUACUGUUAUAUACAUCCUACUUGCAUGUAAUGACAUAGGGUCUACAAGACUGAGUUCCUGGUAUUUAUUUUUAUUUCCAUCUUGAACUUGAAGCUUUCAAUGAGCUCUUUGGAAGAGACAACUGACAGUUUUCUUAUUCAUUCUAAGAAUCUGUGAAUGUAUUUUAUGCACAGCAAAAUAAAAGACUGGGUAAGAUAAUAUGGAAUGGUGUAGACACUGUUCUGACUAAAUAAUAAUGACAAUUAUUAUUAUGUAACUACAGAGAAAUAAUAUUAAUUGGCAUUAUUACUCCCAAAGAACAGGUAUUCAAAGUGUU